UAUGCUGUUUAUCGAAAUCAUCCCUGAUCGCGAAUAUGUGGCGGUCCGGUAAUAGGGUAAUCGAUUCCAAAUACAUACAGAGACAAAGCAAAUAAAAUCUAAAAUUCGCAGCUUAAUCAAUCAAUCAAAGUGUUUAAUUUCAACGUUUUCGUUAAUAGCAAACAGUGCUAAAAGUGAACUGUUAAAGCUUUUGUUCACUUGCGCUCACGCUUUGACGUGUCUGCACAGACACAAUUGUGUUACAAUUUGUAUACAUAUAUGGAAGCUCACAUACCCUUAAUUCUUAAAAAGUGCUUUAAGGAUAUAAAAAUUGAUCCUGAAAACAAUGUAAAUGUUACUGCAGCUUGUAAAAAAUGCUCUAAGCCAUUGAGGGGAAGUUUACAUUCUACAACAAACUUUUUGAAUCACUUAAAAACGAAAGGACAUGUUGAUUUGUUGACACAAUAUGAAAAAUUAAAAUUUAUAUCAACCAUGAAAAAAAGGAAGCACGACAAUGUUGGUGGUGAUAGUCCAGCUGCUAAAUCAUUAAAACAAAUUGAUUUGGCUGUCUAUAAAAACUCUGUUGAUUUAGAUAGUUUAAUUGUAAGCUUUGUAGUAAACACCAUGUCGCCUAUUUCGAUUGUAGAACAUCCAUCGUUUAAAGCUUUGCUUGAAGGAACACAGCAAUCAACUGUUCGGCCAAAAAUAAUGUGCAGGCAGAGUUGUAAUAAACAAAUAACUGCAAAAUACUGCAAAUAUUUGGAAAAUACAAAAGAAACUUUGAAAAAAGUAGAUUUUGUUUGCACCACUGCGGACAUAUGGUCCUCUUCAAGAAGAAGCUAUCUGGUUGUAACUGUACAUUGGAUUGAAAGCCAUACGUUUGAACGUAAAAGCGCGACUCUAGCUUGCAGACGAUUCAAGGGAACGCACAGCUACGACAAGGUAGCUGAACUUAUCGUGGAAAUUCAUUUGGAGUUUGAUUUAAGCCCCAACAAAACAUUUAAGACUGCCACCGACAAUGGAUCCAACAUGGUUAACGCGUUUGCAUCGUUCGGACAGCAUGAAGACGCCGUUGAAAAUCCAGAUUCCAUUAAACUUCCACAAGACAUUAAAGAAGAUAAUGACCAUGAUGACGAGCUCCAACUAAUACAAUUUCCUGAGUCGUCUGAAGAAUUUGAGCAGUGGCAACUUCCAAACCAUGAGAGAUGUGCAUUUAAUAGCAUCACACGAUAUGGAGAAGGCAAGAUCGUUAAAUAAGUCAUACAAAAAACUUUAUGAUGCAUCUAUGGGAAAAUGUCAGGCAAUUUGGAAUUUGUGUUCUAGAUCUCCUAAGUCCUGUGAAAUAUAUACCGAAAUGACUGGAAAAUCUCCUACAUCACCUUGUGCAACUCGGUGGAAUUCGUAUUAUAACUCAAUUAAAAACCUUUUGUCCGUUAAGGAAAAUUUAAAUGACACUUUAAAGAAACUUGGGUUAUCCGUUUUUAAAGAAA